rnacentral:tRNA from 3 species
UGGGGAAUAGUUUAAUGGUAGAACGACGGACUCUGACUCCGUUAGUCUUGGUUCGAAUCCAGGUUCCCCAG